rnacentral:rRNA from 1 species
AGAACGAACGCUGGCGGCAUGCCUAACACAUGCAAGUCGAACGAGACCUUCGGGUCUAGUGGCGCACGGGUGCGUAACGCGUGGGAAUCUGCCCUUGGGUUCGGAAUAACAGCGAGAAAUUGCUGCUAAUACCGGAUGAUGACGUAAGUCCAAAGAUUUAUCGCCCAAGGAUGGGCCCGCGUAGGAUUAGCUUGUUGGUGAGGUAAGAGCUCACCAAGGCGACGAUCCUUAGCUGGUCUGAGAGGAUGAUCAGCCACACUGGGACUGAGACACGGCCCAGACUCCUACGGGAGCAGCAGUGGGAAUAUUGACAAUGGCGAAAGCCUGAUCCAGCAAUGCCGCGUGAGUGAUGAA